CCUACGGGGGGUUGCAGUGGGGAAUAUUGGACAAUGGGGGCAACCCUGAUCCAGCCAUGCCGCGUGUGUGAAGAAGGCCCUCGGGUUGUAAAGCACUUUCAGUGAGGAAGAACGCCUGGUGGUUAAUACCCAUCAGGAAAGACAUCACUCACAGAAGAAGCACCGGCUAACUCCGUGCCAGCAGCCGCGGUAAUACGGAGGGUGCGAGCGUUAAUCGGAAUUACUUGGCGUAAAGCGCGCGUAGGUGGCUUGAUAAGCCGGUUGUGAAAGCCCCGGGCUCAACCUGGGAACGGCAUCCGGAACUGUCAAGCUAGAGUGCAGGAGAGGAAGGUAGAAUUCCCGGUGUAGCGGUGAAAUGCGUAGAGAUCGGGAGGAAUACCAGUGGCGAAGGCGGCCUUCUGGACUGACACUGACACUGAGGUGCGAAAGCGUGGGUAGCAAACAGGAUUAGAUACCCUUGUAGUC
rnacentral:rRNA from 1 species